GUUAGAAAAGUGGUUCCUUUUUGGUUCGAGUUUCUUCGACGUCCGGCGCGACGCAGAUCCUGCUGAACGAUCUGAACAUAUUUUAGCGCUCAACCGGAACGGUGUUCACUUCCUUGAUGUCAUUACUCACGAAACUUUGAUGCACUAUCCUUAUUCCGAGGUGAUAUCUACUCGCAAAAUCAUUUCGAAAGAAGGUCCCCUUUUCCUGGACAUGAAAUGCGGAAAUUUAAGGCAGCAGCGCGUGACCCGCAUUCAAACAGAUCAGGCCCAUGAGAUAUUUCGUCUGGUUCGUCAGUAUAUCGCCAUUCAACAACGCAUCCAGCAGCAGAACGUUAAAGAAGAGAGCAAUCUGGCUUCACGCUGAUGAUCCAAUCGCUUAAAAUUACUGUUCGCCGUGGUACAUAAAGACAAAAUCGCAAAUAAAUAUUUU